GAAAUGCGAUAAGUAAUGUGAAUUGCAGAAUUCAGUGAAUCAUCGAAUCUUUGAACGCACAUUGCGCCCGCCAGUAUUCUGGCGGGCAUGCCUGUUCGAGCGUCAUUUCAACCAUCAAGCCCCCGGGCUUGUGUUGGGGACCUGCGGCUGCCGCAGGCCCCGAAAACCAGUGGCGGGCUCGCUGUCACACCGGGCGUAGUAGAUUUUUCGUCUCGCCCAGGGCGUGCUGUGGGUUCCGGCCGUUAAAAAGCCUCUCUUUUAACCCAAGGUUGACCUCGGAUCAGGUAGGAAGACCCGCUGAACUUAAGC
rnacentral:misc_RNA from 1 species